rnacentral:rRNA from 1 species
UUNUGAACUGGGUGACUAGAGCGUGUCAGAGGGAGGUAGAAUUCCACGUGUAGCAGUGAAAUGCGUAGAGAUGUGGAGGAAUACCGAUGGCGAAGGCAGCCUCCUGGGAUAACACUGACGUUCAUGCCCGAAAGCGUGGGUAGCAAACAGGAUUAGAUACCCUGGUAGUNCACGCCCUAAACGAUGUCGAUUAGCUGUUGGGCAGCAUGACUGCUUAGUAGCGAAGCUAACGCGUGAAAUCGACCGCCUGGGGAGUACGGUCGCAAGAUUAAAACUCAAAGGAAUUGACGGGGACCCGUACAAGCGGUGGAUGAUGUGGAUUAAUUCGAUGCAACGCGAAGAACCUUACCUGGUCUUGACAUGUACGGAACCCUCCAGAGACGGAGGGGUGCCUUCGGGAGCCGUAACACAGGUGCUGCAUGGCUGUCGUCAGCUCGUGUCGUGAGAUGUUGGGUUAAGUCCCGCAACGAGCGCAACCCUUGUCAUUAGUUGCCAUCAUUAAGUUGGGCACUCUAAUGAGACUGCCGGUGACAAGCCGGAGGAAGGUGGGGAUGACGUCAAGUCCUCAUGGCCCUUAUGACCAGGGCUUCACACGUCAUACAAUGGUCGGUACAGAGGGUAGCCAAGCCGCGAGGUGGAGCCAAUCUCACAAAACCGAUCGUAGUCCGGAUUGCACUCUGCAACUCGAGUGCAUGAAGUCGGAAUCGCUAGUAAUCGCAGGUCAGCAUACUGCGGUGAAUACGUUCCCGGGUCUUGUACACACCGCCCGUCACACCAUGGGAGUGGGGGAUACCAGAAG